rnacentral:snRNA from 1 species
GUAUGUGCAGGAGAGAUAACAAGAUCAUGAAGAUGGUUUUUCCCAGGGUGAGGCCUAUCCACUGCAUUCUGGAUGUGCAAUUUCUCCAAGUGUAGGAAACUCUACUGCAUAAUUUGUGGUAGUGGGGGACUGUAUUUGCAUUCUCCCC